GGCCACGUAGCUCAGUUGGUUAUAAUGUUGGCUAUACUAAAGCGUUCCCCCUGGUGGCGUGGGUUCGAAUCCCACCGAGGCCG
rnacentral:tRNA from 1 species